CACGUAGGGGGCAAGCGUUGUCCGGAUUUAUUGGGCGUAAAGAGCUCGUAGGCGGCUCAGUAAGUCGGGUGUGAAACCUCCAGGCUCAACCUGGAGACGCCACCUGAUACUGCUGUGGCUAGAGUCCGGUAGGGGAGCGUGGAAUUCCUGGUGUAGCGGUGAGAUGCGCAGAUAUCAGGAGGAACACCAGCGGCGAAGGCGGCGCUCUGGGCCGGAACUGACGCUGAGGAGCGAAAGCGUGGGUAGCAAACAGG
rnacentral:rRNA from 1 species